rnacentral:piRNA from 1 species
UGUGCUCUGCGGUUGUGGUUCUGC